UGGGGGGUGGCAUGUACGUAUAGGUCUCUUGGGGUCUCAUAUCUAUCUUCAGCAAGCUAAGACCCCUUUCAUUGACUGCCCAAGACCAUCUCUCUUACACUUACAUCUGAUGGCAGCGGUAAUCAAGAGCCUCACAACGCCGACGGUAAUUCAUCUACCUCCACGCUCCUCGCCGACGCCGAUCCACGCUAUCUGCUGACAAGCUACUCAUGUCGCAGUGCCUCCUCGCCUCUUUUAACGCCCAGCCAUCGCUACCAGGUCUUCUUAGAUCGCGCCUAUCUACACCAUGUCUACCCUACUACUUCAUGCAGACCACUCACGUCUGUGCUACCCUCCUGACGUCGCUGACGAUAUGUUCCCGCACCCUAUGCCCCCACACUCGCCAAUCCGGCUCAUCUACCUUGCCAAUGGAGCCGCAAUUCUACUCAGCACCACCAGUACUUCCUAGCUACUAUUAAAACCUCUGAAAACGAUUGACCCUCUUCGCUAAUGAAUGUUGCACCUCAGUGCGAAACCUCCGCAACACCCGCUACCCUGGCACGCGACGACCCUAGCGACCAUCGGAUCACCAGGAACCUUCUGUAGAUACAGAAAAGAACCUGUAUCCCUAUGCGCUACUGCAGUUUUUCAAGUGUUGCACACGGCUCGAGGAUGAGCCUUGCGCGUGGCCAAGCGAUGUCAACAAUACCUAGCAGGACCGGAUAGCACACUUCGCACCUCCGCCCAAGCAGCUACCCUUCUCCCUGGGCAGGACAUAGGUGCUGCCUGGCUAUCUCUUUUCGCAGAGGAAUAACCAUCCGUCCAUGAAGGGAACCGCCGCAUAAAAGGGCACGAGCGGAAGACGAAGGGAGAGACACGGCAGACAGGCCACGCCACACAGGAUCCAGCUCCACCACCUCGUCCUCCACCCGGGGACACGGGGGUAUCUUCAGGGGUCUAUCUUCAACAAUAAACCAGCAAGCUAA